rnacentral:rRNA from 1 species
UAGUGGCAGACGGGUGAGUAACGCGUGGGAAGCUACCUUGUGGUAGGGGACAACAGUUGGAAACGACUGCUAAUACCCUAUGAGCCCUAUGGGGGAAAGAUUUAUCGCCAUGAGAUGUGCCCGCGUUAGAUUAGCUAGUUGGUAAGGUAAUGGCUUACCAAGGCGACGAUCUAUAGCUGGUCUGAGAGGAUGAUCAGCCACACUGGGACUGAGACACGGCCCAGACUCCUACGGGAGGCAGCAGUGGGGAAUAUUGGACAAUGGGGGCAACCCUGAUCCAGCCAUGCCGCGUGUGUGAUGACGGCCUUAGGGUUGUAAAGCACUUUCAGCAGUGAAGAUAAUGACAUUAACUGCAGAAGAAGCCCCGGCUAACUUCGUGCCAGCAGCCGCGGUAAUACGAAGGGGGCUAGCGUUGUUCGGAAUCACUGGGCGUAAAGAGUACGUAGGCGGACUGAUAAGUUAGGGGUGAAAUCCCAAGGCUCAACCUUGGAACUGCCUUUGAUACUGUCAGUCUUGAGAUCGAGAGAGGUGAGUGGAACUCCGAGUGUAGAGGUGAAAUUC